CCACAAAGACUUGAAGAAACAGCACUUCUCUAAUUCUUCCCAAAAGUUCUGAGAACCACCAAAUCCUAAAGGAUUACACCCACCAGUCUUCCUGAUUUCAGAUGUAAGUGGGGUGCAGGAGUUCCUCAGAUGAGGGGUGGAGGGAGGCAAGCAGCCGGCCCCAAUGGACAUAGCCCAUCGAGAGCACCACAGGAGACUGUCUAAAGCAAAGCUCAAAGUGCAGCAGGAAUUCUAAAAAGCCUAAAAGAUCCCCAAGAUAACUUGAAGAAAGACCAUGAGAAGCAAUGUAGAUUUUCCUAAUCAAAAUACAAGGUUACACCAUGUCAACAACCAGCAGAUGGGGAAAAGGAACGUCCUAGGAAGCUCAAAGAACACGCUUGGAAACGGAGCUAUAAAUACCAGGCUAAUUCCAUAGCUUUAAGAUUUCUCCAAAGCUUUUUUAAAUCCCUCCAGAAAAGGCUGAAGAGAUCCCUAAUCUGAAGUGGCCCAGUUGAAGGAACGUGUGUGUUUUUAUUUUUAAAUAAAGUUACAUCCACAAUAGUGUUGGGAAUUUUA
rnacentral:lncRNA from 1 species